CCUGCCCCUAGAGGCAGUGCAGGUAUGACUGCUGUGUCACACACGAAGCAGUAGGUGGCAGAGAGGAGAGAGGCCUUGUCUAUGCUCAGCGUUUCUGACCUAUGAACAUCUGAAUGAUUAAUAGCCUAACAUU